AUUGAACGCUGGCGGCAUGCUUUACACAUGCAAGUCGAGCGGUAACAGGGAGCUUGCUCCGCUGACGAGUGGCGAACGGGUGAGUAAUGCGUCGGAACGUGCCGAGUAGUGGGGGAUAACGCAUCGAAAGGUGCGCUAAUACCGCAUACGAACUGAGGUUGAAAGUGGGGGACCUUCGGGCCUCACGCUAUUCGAGCGGCCGACGUCUGAUUAGCUAGUUGGUGAGGUAAAGGCUCACCAAGGCGACGAUCAGUAGCGGGUCUGAGAGGAUGAUCCGCCACACUGGGACUGAGACACGGCCCAGACUCCUACGGGAGGCAGCAGUGGGGAAUUUUGGACAAUGGGCGCAAGCCUGAUCCAGCCAUGCCGCGUGUCUGAAGAAGGCCUUCGGGUUGUAAAGGACUUUUGUCCGGGAGCAAAUGCUGGUGGCUAACAUCCACCGGAGCUGAGAGUACCGGAAGAAUAAGCACCGGCUAACUACGUGCCAGCCGCCGCGGUAAUAC
rnacentral:rRNA from 1 species